rnacentral:tRNA from 1 species
GACUCCGUAGCUCAGCUGGAUAGAGCAGCCGCCUUCUAAGCGGCUGAUUGCAGGCUCCGCCGGACCCU